CCCUCGUUACGGCGGGGAUUGGUCACGGUGUAUCUGAGGUACCUCGAUGUGGCUGGUCUGUCCACGUGUUCAUUCUGUAAAAAAAAAAGGACAUUUGGUGCUUGUCCAAAAAGACUCACUUGAUAGUGCUCCACGAUGUUGAGGAGCAGGUCCCUCAGCACCUGCUCACUGCCCCCGCAGCGUGCCAUGCACCAGUAAAAGUGGGUUUUUACUGGUGCGCCUACACGUACAGGCAUGUGGGCCAGGACACGGUGAUUGCUGUGAAGAAGAGGUUGGAAGAGUUGACAAGAUGAAGAUCAGGAUGUAGUUAUAGGUUUUCAGCUGUGUAAUCAUGUUAUGAAACAUAGUGGUGCAAUACAUGACAGAAUGCAUCAUAGAAUAAAUUCCACAGUACCGAUGCAUUUCAAUAGGGUUGACAGUAGGGUUUAUAUAGAUGUUGACAGAACAAAAAGGAAUAGAGUAAGUAGGAAAUUCAUAAAAACUCUGAAUGAAUACUACUACCAUUAGUACUGGGUUUUAAAAAAAUACUUGGUGGUCUGCUAAGUCUGUGUUGGUACUAUCAUCAAAUGUGAAAUAUCAAUAGUUAGGCGAUUACCCUACCU